rnacentral:rRNA from 1 species
CCUACGGGGGGCAGCAGUGGGGAAUAUUGCACAAUGGGCGCAAGCCUGAUGCAGCCAUGCCGCGUGUGUGAAGAAGGCCUUCGGGUUGUAAAGCACUUUCAGCGGGGAGGAAGGCGUUAAGGUUAAUAACCUUGUCGAUUGACGUUACCCGCAGAAGAAGCACCGGCUAACUCCGUGCCAGCAGCCGCGGUAAUACGGAGGGUGCAAGCGUUAAUCGGAAUUACUGGGCGUAAAGCGCACGCAGGCGGUCUGUCAAGUCGGAUGUGAAAUCCCCGGGCUCAACCUGGGAACUGCAUUCGAAACUGGUAGGCUAGAGUCUUGUAGAGGGGGGUAGAAUUCCAGGUGUAGCGGUGAAAUGCGUAGAGAUCUGGAGGAAUACCGGUGGCGAAGGCGGCCCCCUGGACAAAGACUGACGCUCAGGUGCGAAAGCGUGGGGAGCAAACAGGAUUAGAUACCCGUGUAGUC